rnacentral:lncRNA from 1 species
AGCUCCAGAUGGAGGUGGUCCUUUAUCUUGGUGGGCUUCCAUGGAGAUGUCACAAGGGAACUUCACAGUGUUCGUAUGAAGCUGGUGAUUUUCCUUCGCAAGCCAGGCUCUCGGCAGGGGCUUGAGGCUGGUCUACUAUGAGCCUGGUAGUUGCUUCUGUUUUUUGUCUUGGGGCUUGGGCUGUAUCUGCAGACAGAUGUCUCUGAUUUCUCUGCCUCUGUUGCCAUGGUGCCAUUCAACUCUGAGACGCCACCCAGACCCAGGAGGUACCCACGGGCUCACUCUGCCAGGAUGUCUGUGCCUCCUCCUCCUGAGAGUCAUCACUUCCAUUUAAUAAUCAAAAGACGUGAUGCUGGUCCACAGUGCAGUUGAUUCUGAGCCUGUCCCACCAGCCAAGAGAGGCCGCAUCAGAGCUGUCCAGGGUCCCCCCUCAGCGUGAUCUUGGUCUCCUCCACCUUCUCUCCCCAUUGGAGCAUUUCCCCUCUUAGUGCCUCAAGUUAGGGACUGUGCAGACACAGCCAUUAGGUUAGUCAGUGCAGACUCUGGUGAGCAACUGGAUAAUUAUUCCCAAAAAUAUUGACU